UAACAACAUCAGGUCAGUAGUUCUAUAAUAUACAGUAGUGUUCUGUUACCUACAUCUACUAGCUAACAACAUCAGGUCAGUAGUUCUAUAAUAUACAGUAGUGUUCUGUUACCUACAUCUACUAGCUAACAACAUCAGGUCAGUAGUUCUAUAAUAUACAGUAGUGUUCUGUUACCUACAUCUACUAGCUAACAACAUCAGGUCAGUAGUUCUAUAAUAUACAGUAGUGUUCUGUUACCUACAUCUACUAGCUAACAACAUCAGGUCAGUAGUUCUAUAAUAUACAGUAGUGUUCUGUUACCUACAUCUACUAGCUAACAACAUCAGGUCAGUAGUUCUAUAAUAUACAGUAGUGUUCUGUUACCUACAUCUACUAGCUAACAACAUCAGGUCAGUAGUUCUAUAAUAUACAGUAGUGUUCUGUUACCUACAUCUACUAGCUAACAACAUCAGGUCAGUAGUUCUAUAAUAUACAGUAGUGUUCUGUUACCUACAUCUACUAGCUAACAACAUCAGGUCAGUAGUUCUAUAAUAUACAGUAGUGUUCUGUUCACUACAUCUACUAGCUAACAACAUCAGGUCAGUAGUUCUAUAAUAUACAGUAGUGUUCUGUUCACUACAUCUACUAGCUAACAACAUCAGGUCAGUAGUUCUAUAAUAUACAGUAGUGUUCUGU